rnacentral:rRNA from 1 species
CGCGUAGGUGGUUAUGUAAGUGAGAUGUGAAAUCCCCGGGCUUAACCUGGGAACUGCGUCUUAUACUGCAUAGCUUGAGUACAUGAGAGGGUAGUGGAAUUUCCGGUGUAGCGGUGAAAUGCGUAGAUAUCGGAAGGAACACCAGUGGCGAAGGCGGCUACCUGGCAUGAUACUGACACUGAGGCGCGAGAGCGUGGGGAGCAAACAGGAUUAGAUACCCUGGUAGUCCACGCCGUAAACGAUGAAAACUAGAUGUUGGGCAGCUUAGACUGUUCGGUAUCGAAGCUAACGCGAUAAGUUUUCCGCCUGGGGAGUACGGUCGCAAGAUUAAA